rnacentral:lncRNA from 1 species
CAGAUCUGCUGGACAGAUGACUCUGGAGCCAAUUCACUGCUAAUGUCCACCUAUAUGUGAACAUUGACCCAUGGAGAAAAUCUCUCAACAGGGAGUACCAGGGCUGGAAAAUAUGACAUUAAAAGUCAGUUUCAGAAGACUGAAAGUGUCACACGGAAUGUAAUUGGUGCAUCUCCUGCUUUUCUUUCUCGAUCCCAGGUAAAGAUCUAUAGCCAUUUUUAUAUAUUUUAUAUAAUAGGCAUAAUGUGGUGUCAGCAGCAAAUCCAGUAGAGUUAAGAAGGUUAUAAAUAGAAAAGUAGUAUU